GGGCGGAGCUCCAGGACACAUUUGCGACAAUUGAGAGGAAGGAGAGGCAAUCUCUCCUUAUCAGCAAAAUAAAGGUUCUGACCAGAAAACUCCGCCGAUAUCAGAAGGUGGUCAAAGAGAUGAAGGAAGGUGCAGCCGGGGAGUGGAGGAGGUGGAGGAGCGGGAUGAGCGUUUGGAGGAGGAUGAGCGGGUGGAGGCCGGGCCAAGCAGGGAGGUCGAUGAACAGAGGGCAACCUUCAAGGGGAUGGGGAGAGGUGCGGCCAUGCGGCAUCUGGUCCUCCCUCCCAGUAUUGGGAAAUGGAAAAAACUCUUUUGUGGGGGCAUACCAAUCCUUCCA